UACGAAGGGGGCUAGCGUUGCACGGAAUCACUGGGCGUAAAGGGUGCGUAGGCGGGUCUUUAAGUCAGGGGUGAAAUCCUGGAGCUCAACUCCAGAACUGCCUUUGAUACUGAGGAUCUUGAGUUCGGGAGAGGUGAGUGGAACUGCGAGUGUAGAGGUGAAAUUCGUAGAUAUUCGCAAGAACACCAGUGGCGAAGGCGGCUCACUGGCCCGAUACUGACGCUGAGGCACGAAAGCGUGGGGAGCAAACAGG
rnacentral:rRNA from 1 species